rfam:Kluyvera ascorbata ATCC 33433 GKAS.assembly.003, whole genome shotgun sequence.
AGAUAAAAAGAGACCGAAAACGAUUCCUGUUUUCGGUCCAGGGAAAUGGCUCUUGGGAGAGAGCCGUGCGCUAAAAGUUGGCAUUAAUGCAGGCUAAGUCGCCUUGCUUUAUAAGAAUAGAUGACCGUGACAGGUUUUCCAGUCC